ACCCUUUAAUGUUUGAUGUUCUAACGUGGACCCGUGAUCCGGGUUGCGGACAGUGUCUGGUGGGUAGUUUGACUGGGGCGGUCUCCUCCUAAAGAGUAACGGAGGAGCACGAAGGUUGGCUAAUCCUGGUCGGACAUCAGGAGGUUAGUGCAAUGGCAUAAGCCAGCUUGACUGCGAGCGUGACGGCGCGAGCAGGUGCGAAAGCAGGUCAUAGUGAUCCGGUGGUUCUGAAUGGAAGGGCCAUCGCUCAACGGAUAAAAGGUACUCCGGGGAUAACAGGCUGAUACCGCCCAAGAGUUCAUAUCGACGGCGGUGUUUGGCACCUCGAUGUCGGCUCAUCACAUCCUGGGGCUGAAGUAGGUCCCAAGGGUAUGGCUGUUCGCCAUUUAAAGUGGUACGCGAGCUGGGUUUAGAACGUCGUGAGACAGUUCGGUCCCUAUCUGCCGUGGGCGCUGGAGAACUGAGGGGGGCUGCUCCUAGUACGAGAGGACCGGAGUGGACGCAUCACUGGUGUUCGGGUUGUCAUGCCAAUGGCACUGCCCGGUAGCUAAAUGCGGAAGAGAUAAGUGCUGAAAGCAUCUAAGCACGAAACUUGCCCCGAGAUGAGUUCUC
rnacentral:rRNA from 2 species